UUAACCGAAAAGAAACCUUUGAAAAAAUACCCAACCAAAUUAAACAAAUAAACAAACAAGUAGUAAAAAGCAAAAUCAAUGUCGUGAGCUACAGAGCUGCAUCACGUGGCAAAACAUUGAUCGUUGAAAUUCGAAUAGGUUCAGCUGAUGAUAACUCACGAUGUUUAAUAACUAACAAUCUAAUGUAUCGAUUUUACAUUUUAAAACGGAGAUUUCGUAUGAUUGCCUACCAGGUAACUAUCCGCUAGAGAUCAAAUGAUGGAGAUGUAAGCAAUUAUAAGUGAAACGUAUGGAAUUCAACAACAAGAAAAUGCGUACCGCAUGGAAAAUUUUAAAGGAUAUCGACAUAACAAAUAGAAAACCCACGUCUUGAUGUACAUAUGACUGAAGUAAGAUGCGCAAUCGACCUCGUUUACACAAAAAAAUCAAGUCGGGAGGUAAAAAAGCUUUAGCAUUUCAAAAAUUCAAAAUUUUAUAGAAAUAAGCUCGAUGACGAAUAUUUAUUAUAUUAUCCCUAUGUAUACUUCUAAUGUAAUGUAACGAUAAGUGCAACUUAGCAAAAUGCUUUUGUGCGGUUGAAUAAUUUGCAAAUUUUAUAAACGUUUUCAAAUAAUAAUGAUCUAGG
rnacentral:lncRNA from 1 species